rnacentral:rRNA from 1 species
GACGAACGCUGGCGGCGUGCCUAACACAUGCAAGUCUACUUGAAGUUACCGCUUGCGGUAAUGGAUGGUGGCGUACGGGUGAGUAACGCGUAGAUAACCUACCAUUUAAUUUGGGAUAAUUCACUGAAAAGAGGACUAAUACCGAAUGUGCUCUCAUUAUGGCAUCAUAUUGAGAGGAAAGACUGCGGUCGUUAAAUGAUGGGUCUGCGUAUCAUUAGUUAGUUGGUAAGGUAACGGCUUACCAAGACAUCGAUGAUUAGCUGGUCUGAGAGGAUGAUCAGCCACACUGGGACUGAGAUACGGCCCAG